UUUCUUUUUAUUCUUCCCUAUUCUUUUAUCCUUUCUCUUCCUUUCUUUUUAUUCUUCACUCUUCUUUUAUAUUUUCUCUUCCUUUUUUUAUAUUCCCUCUUCCUUUAUCUUUGUUUUCCUUUCGUGCCCAUUAGCCGAAUUCACGUCCUCACCUUCACCUCCAUUUCCACCCUCCUUCUCAUCAUCCAUUAACACAACACUUAAUACAAGCUUCUUCCUCCCUCAGACUCAACUCCCCUGCACUUGGCUGACUCUGGGGGUCAUAAGGCAGUGGUGGACGUCCUCGUGGCGGGAGGGGGCGACCCCAACGCCAGAGACAGGAGAGACCAUAGGACUCCCCUGCACGAGGCUGCCUCUGGGGGUCAUAAGGCUGUAUUGGACGUCCUCGUGGCGGGGGGCGGCGACCCCAACGCCAGAGACUGGACUAGCCAAACUCCCUAACUUAGUGUCAUAAGGUUG